UUGCAAUACGGCAGCGGCAGACGGGAGAGUAACACGUGGGAACGCGCCCUUCGGUUCGGAAUAACUCAGGGAAACUUGGGCUAAUACCGGAUACGCCCUAACGGGGAAAGAUUUAUUGCCGAAGGAACGGCCCGCGUCCGAUUAGCUUGUUGGUGAGGUAACGGCUCACCAAGGCGACGAUCGGUAGCUGGUCUGAGAGGAUGACCAGCCUCACUGGGACUGAGACACGGCCCAGACUCCUACGGGAGGCAGCAGUGGGGAAUAUUGGACAAUGGGCGCAAGCCUGAUCCAGCCAUGCCGCGUGGGUGAUGAAGGCCCUAGGG
rnacentral:rRNA from 1 species